rnacentral:miRNA from 1 species
CUAUAAGUCAUUGUGCCACGAUAGUAUUUGCGCGUGUGUAUGUACAUAUGUGUGUGUCUGUGUAUAAUAUAUAUAUACACACACACACAUAUAUACACACACACACACAAACACAAACGUGGCACAAUGACUUAUAG